ensembl:lncRNA novel transcript
CCUGAAUGUUGACAUGGAAUGUUAUUUGGUCAGGAAGUCUGGAUUAUGGAAAUGCAGAUUCUAUAAUAAAGCCUGGCUCUCCAUUCCAAGAUGGCUGAAUAGGAACAGAUCUGGUCUGCAGCUCCCAGUGUGAUCAAUGCAGAAGACAGGUGAUUUCUGCAUUUCCAACUAAGCCUCCACUGGUGAUACCCAGGAAAAAUCUGGAGUGGACCUCCAGCAAACUCCAACAGACCUGCAGCUGAGGGACUUGACUGUUAGAAGGAAAACUAACCAACAGAAAGGAAUAGCAUCAACAUCAACAAAAAGAACAUCUACACCAAAACCCCAUCUGUGGGUCACUAACAUCAAAGACCAAAGGUAGAUAAAACCACAAAGAUGGGGAGAAACCAGAGCAGAAAAGCUGAAAAUUCUAAAAACCAGAGCACUUCUUCUCUAAAGGAUCACAGCUCCUCACCAGAAAUGGAACAAAGCUGGACAGAGAAUGACUUUGACAAGUUGACAGAUGUAGGCUUCAGAAGGUCAGAAAUAAUGAAAAACUUAUCUGAGCUAAAGGAGCAUGUUCAAACCCAUUGCAAGGAAGCUAAAAACCUUGAAAAAAGUUAGACAAAUGGCUAACUAAAAUAAACAGUGAAGAGAAGACCUUAAAUGACCUGAUAGAGAUGAAAACCAUGGCACAAGAACUUCAUGAUGUAUGCACAAGCUUCAAUAGCCAAUUCCAUCAAGUGGAAGAAAGGGUGUCAGUGAUUGAAGAUCAAAUCAAUGAAAUAAAGUGAGAAGACAAAGUUAGAGAAAAAGAGUAAAAAGAAAUGAAUGAAGCCUGCAAGAAAUAUGGGACUAUGUGAAAAAACCAAAUCUCUGUUGAAUUGGUGUACCUGAAAGCAGUGGGGAGAAUGGAACCAAGUUGGAAAACCCUCUUCAGGAUAUUAUCCAGGAGAACUUCCCAAUCUAGCAAGGCAGACCAACAUUCAAAUUCAGGAAAUACAGAGAACACCACAAAGGUACUCAUUGAGAAGAGCAAACCCAAGACAUAAUUGUCAGAUUCACCAAGGUUGAAAUAAGGAAAAAAUGUUAAGGGCAGCCGGAGAGAAAGGUCAGGUCACCCACAAAGGGAAGCCCAUCAGACUAACAGCAGAUCUCUCUGCAAAAACCCUACAAGCCAGAAGAGAGUGGGGGCCAAUAGUCAACGUUCUUAAAGAAAAGAACUUUCAACCCAGAACUUCAUAUCCAGCCAAACUAACCUUCAUAAGUGAAGGAGAAAUAAAAUCCUUUACAGACAAGCAGAUGCUGAGAGAUUUUGUCACCACCAGGCCUGCCUUACAAGAGCUCCUGAAGGAAACAAUAAACAUGAAAAGAAACAACUGUUAACAGCCACUGCAAAAACAUGCCAAAUUGUAAAGACCAUUGAUGCUAUGAAGAAACUGCAAUGAACAGGCAAAAUAACCAGCAAACAUUAUAAUGACGGGAUUAAAUUCACACAUAACAAUAUUAACCUUCAAUGUAAAUGGACUAAAUGCCCCAAUUAAAAGACAAAGACUGGCAAAUUGGAUAAAGAGUCAAGACCCAUCAGUGUGUUGUAUUCAGGAGACCCAUCUCACAUGCAGAGACACAUAGACUCAAAAUAAAGGGAUGGAGGA